AACGUAGGUACCGAGCGUUAUCCGGAUUCACUGGGCGUAAAGCGCGUGCAGGUGGUUUGGUAAGUCGGGCAUGAAAACUCUUGGCUCAACUGAGAGACGCUGUCCGAUACUGUCGAACUUGAGGGUGUAAGAGGGAGGUGGAAUUCCGCAUGUAGUGGUGAAAUGCGUAGAUAUGCGGAGGAACACCAGUGGCGAAGGCGGCCUCCUGGUACACUCCUGACACUCAGACGCGAAAGCUAGGGGAGCGAACGGGAUUAGAAACCCCAGUAGUCC
rnacentral:rRNA from 1 species